GAUUAGUCUCGUUGGUGACCAGCGGAGGGAUCAUUGCUGGAACGCGCUUCGGCGCACCCAGAAACCCUUUGUGAACUUAUACCUAUUGUUGCCUCGGCGCAGGCCGGCCUCUUCACUGAGGCCCCCUGGAAACAGGGAGCAGCCCGCCGGCGGCCAACCAAACUCUUGUUUCUAUAGUGAAUCUCUGAGUAAAAAAACAUAAAUGAAUCAAAACUUUCAACAACGGAUCUCUUGGUUCUGGCAUCGAUGAAGAACGCAGCGAAAUGCGAUAAGUAAUGUGAAUUGCAGAAUUCAGUGAAUCAUCGAAUCUUUGAACGCACAUUGCGCCCUCUGGUAUUCCGGAGGGCAUGCCUGUUCGAGCGUCAUUUCAACCCUCAAGCCUGGCUUGGUGAUGGGGCACUGCCUGUAAUAGGGCAGGCCCUGAAAUCUAGUGGCGAGCUCGCCAGGACCCCGAGCGUAGUAGUUAUAUCUCGCUCUGGAAGGCCCUGGCGGUGCCCUGCCGUUAAACCCCCAACUUCUGAAAAUUUGACCUCGGAUCAGGUAGGAAUACCCGCUGAACUUAAGCAUAUCAAA
rnacentral:rRNA from 1 species